rnacentral:lncRNA from 1 species
AUUUGAGUUAAGAUCAACGGUUUAUUUAUUAGUUAUUGAGGUUUAAAUCUGUUGUAAGAAUUACUAGGGUUUGGUUUAGAAUUUGAUUUAGGCUUUAGGAUUUGGUUUAGGGUUUGGAAUUUAGGGUUUAUUUAGGAUUUAGGGUUUGGAUUAGGGUUUGAUUUAGUAUUUAGGAUUUGGAUUAGGGUUUGAUUUAGGAUUUAGGAUUUGGUUAGGAUUUGGUUUAGGAUUUGAUUGAGGUUUGGUUUAAGGUUUGUUUAGGGUUCGAUUUAGGAUUUAGGAUUUUAUUAGGAUUUAAGAUUCAAUUAGUUUUGGCCUAAAGUUUAAAUGAAGUUCAAUAGGAUUUUAACUAGAAUUAAAUUAAGAUUGAAUUGAGAUGUAUUUGAGUGAUAUUUGUGAUCCUUCUAAUAUUUCUUUAAGAAUUUCUAUUGUUUGUUUGAAAUUUCUUUGAGGUUUUUUUUGAAUUUGAUUAAGCUUGCUUAGUAUUAUUAUAGUCUAAUUAGAGUAUUGUUAGUAUU